rnacentral:rRNA from 1 species
CCUACGGGUGGCAGCAGUGGGGAAUAUUGCACAAUGGGCGCAAGCCUGAUGCAGCCAUGCCGCGUGUGUGAAGAAGGCCUUCGGGUUGUAAAGCACUUUCAGCGGGGAGGAAGGCGGUGAGGUUAAUAACCUCAUCGAUUGACGUUACCCGCAGAAGAAGCACCGGCUAACUCCGUGCCAGCAGCCGCGGUAAUACGGAGGGUGCAAGCGUUAAUCGGAAUUACUGGGCGUAAAGCGCACGCAGGCGGUCUGUCAAGUCGGAUGUGAAAUCCCCGGGCUCAACCUGGGAACUGCAUUCGAAACUGGCAGGCUAGAGUCUUGUAGAGGGGGGUAGAAUUCCAGGUGUAGCGGUGAAAUGCGUAGGGAUCUGGAGGAAUACCGGUGGCGAAGGCGGCCCCCUGGACAAAGACUGACGCUCAGGUGCGAAAGCGUGGGGAGCAAACAGGAUUAGAUACCCUAGUAGUC